rnacentral:rRNA from 1 species
CGCCCGCCGCGCGCGGCGGGCCUACGGGAGGCAGCAGUGAGGAAUAUUGGUCAAUGGGCGGAAGCCUGAACCAGCCAAGUAGCGUGCAGGAUGACGGCCCUAUGGGUUGUAAACUGCUUUUAUACCAGGAAUAAAGUUAGCCACGUGUGGUUAUUUGUAGGUACUGUAUGAAUAAGGACCGGCUAAUUCCGUGCCAGCAGCCGCGGUAAUA